rnacentral:lncRNA from 1 species
GGAGUAUUCAUAUUGCACACAGCCUAAGAGUUGUGUUCAUGGUGCCAAAAUCUUAAGAUCUGCUCUUAAGAUCCACCACUGCAGAGGAUCACAAAUAGAAAAUUCAAUCCAGGAAGAUAAGGGGAAUGGUGACUUUUGUGGUGGCCUGACUCUGCUCGUCUGCAGCAAUGGUGCUCACACUGGAC